rnacentral:rRNA from 1 species
UACAGAGGUCUCAAGCGUUGUUCGGAUUCAUUGGGCGUAAAGGGUGCGUAGGCGGCGCGGUAAGUCGGGUGUGAAAUCUCGGGGCUUAACUCCGAAACUGCAUUCGAUACUGCCGUGCUUGAGGACUGGAGAGGAGACUGGAAUUUACGGUGUAGCGGUGAAAUGCGUAGAUAUCGUAAGGAAGACCAGUGGCGAAGGCGGGUCUCUGGACAGUUCCUGACGCUGAGGCACGAAGGCCAGGGGAGCAAAACGGGG